rnacentral:rRNA from 1 species
UACGUAGGUGGCGAGCGUUGUCCGGAAUUACUGGGUGUAAAGGGCGUGUAGGCGGGGAUACAAGUCAGAUGUGAAAUUCCACGGCUUAACUGUGGCGCUGCAUCUGAAACUGUAUCUCUUGAGUGCUGGAGAGGAAAGCGGAAUUCCUAGUGUAGCGGUGAAAUGCGUAGAUAUUAGGAGGAACACCAGUGGCGAAGGCGGCUUUCUGGACAGUAACUGACGCUGAGGCGCGAAAGCGUGGGGAGCAGACAGG